rnacentral:rRNA from 1 species
UACGAACUGUGCGAACGUUAUUCGGAAUCACUGGGCUUACAGGGUGCGUAGGUGGCCGGACAAGUCAGGUGUGAAAUCCCUCAGCUCAACUGAGGAACUGCGCUUGAAACUGUUUGGCUAGAGUGAGCUAGGGGUGCUUGGAACUGCCAGUGGAGCAGUGAAACGUGUUGAUAUUGGCAGGAACACCGGAGCCGAAAGGGAAGCACUGGGGCUUAACUGACACUGAGGCACGAAAGCCAGGGGAGCAAACGGG